GGGUCGGCAUUAGCUCAAGCAGUUACUUCCUCACACUGGACUUUCCAUCCAUCUAAUUCCUGCACUGGGGUUCGAGACCUGUGGGUGAUUUCUUUUUUU
rnacentral:vault_RNA from 1 species